CUUGGAGAAAACCCACGCAGGUCACGGGGAGAAAUUAGUUAAUUCAAAUAUUGUCUUUUGGAAUUAACUUUAGAGGUCCAUGGUGUAAGAAAAAUACCUUACUAGUUUUCUUUUAAAAUCUUUUUAUUAAUUUUUCAAAAACAAAAAAUAAUGAUAAACAUAACAGUGAUAUUGAUACAUAGGGAUCAGGAUUACAUUAACAACAAAUGUAACCUAAAUAUAUAUCCAGUGUCAAAAUACACAUUGGGUAUAGACCUCCAGGUCUCGAUGUAAGUAUAGAUAAACGGUUAAAAGACAACUUGGAUAUAUAAAAACAAAAACAUAAAAAGAAGAGAAAAAAAAGGAGAAAAACAAAAACCCCUAAACUAAACUAAG